UCGAUAAUUCGCGAUAAGUAGAUAACUGUAUGGAGCAUAAGCCAAUUUAGGUACACUCACGUCUGCAAAACGAAGCCAGUUCUGAUUUCGUGCUACACUGAAACACACAGUUUUAUAAUAUUACUAUUGGAUUUUUGUUAUAAUUAAAACAACAAAAUGUGUUGUGUGUGCAGUUUAAUAUGCAAAAUACUUAGUUUCCUAGUAUCACUGUUGUUCAUAGUGGCAGUGGUUCUCCUCAUUCUAUGGGGAGUAGGAGUUUUGUUCAACAAUGACGACCCCGCGACCACCACCGGAAACCAGAGAUUUUUGAACGACGUCACCGGAGCUGGACUCAAACACUUUGGGACUACAUAGACUUAGUUAAAUUUAACAAAGCCUCAAAUGCAUUAAGCCUAAAUGAAGAAAUCAGAUCCUGUUACCUCAUUCACUUCAGUUCACCAAAAUGAAACAGUACACUGUGUUUCUCACUCUUACAAGCUAUGCCGAUAAGGUUGCUAGCGAGAAAACACAAAAAAAAUAUUGUUCAUAAUACUAGAAUAAGAACUAAUAAUCCGUUUGCACGCUCAAAAUAAUAGUAUUUGAGGCUUAAAUCUAUCAUCUUGUCUUUAAUCAUCAUCAUCCUCCGCAUAUGACUACGAUCCCGGAAAAGUUCCGUAAAUUUACGUCUGACCCUUAGGUCUAAGACAUCUGGGAUGAGAAUCAUAAUUUAUAAGAUGUGUACAAAUCGAACCAACAAUGACAAAGCAGUAGUGUUCGCUAAUCUUUAUGUGUCCUGUUUUGAUGUUUUGCCGGACGCCAAAGCCUACAUUCGAAAAUCAAACGCUAACGUUCUUUGGCCCGGUGUAUACACGACUUUACAUAAUAUAUUUUCUUUGAUACGCACAUACCUAUUAAGCUUUAAGUAAUUUAUGCGUAAAUGGAAAACUUCACAUAUAACAUUUUUUAUAAAAUGAAAAAUGUUUUAUCGUCAGUUUUUCCAUAUAAUGCUAACCUCAUUUUUUACGUUACGUACAUUUACAACACUUAAGAACUUAAUUUAUUUAAAUACUAAGAUGAAUACUUUUUCAUAUGAAUUUAUAUAAAUAUUUAUGAAUUAUCAUAAUAUGUGUAUAUAUAAUGAAAAAAGAUAUUUUAUUAUGUAUAACUCUUAUAGGCAUAAAUACGGUAUUAUUUUCUACACAGUUUUGUAAAUAUAAUGUCAUGGGACUGAUAGAGCAAAAAAAAAUUGUGGACUAAUAUUGGCUCGAAGUUUUAUAGCUACUGAACUUGACCAUUCAAAUAAAUUACUCUUAGAAUAUAAAAUAUAUUCUCAUAUCGAUAUUUUUGAUCAUGUAUAUAUUCAUAUACAUUCAUCAAGAAUUUGAUACAAUUAUAUAUUGAGGACGCUAUAUUCUAUGAGAUUUUUUACAUUAAUAUUGUAAUUAAUUACUUACAUAUGUUGUUCCCAACCAAAAAUAAAUGUAAUUUAACUAUAAGUUUGUUGUUUAUUUCAAACAUUCAACGUGCUUCUAUGCCAAUUUAUUAUCAUAAAAGAAUAAUUUAGAUAUGAUAUCAAAAAGUCUGUUGAGCCUGUAUAGCCAACACUAUGUCUACCCCGAAAGGGAAAAGAUGUAUGUAUGAGCAAGAAACUCCAAUUUAUUCGUUUUUUUUUAAUAUAAAAACUUACAUAUUUUUUAUUGGGUAUUAGGAAAGGGUUUAUUUAAUGUUUGAGGGUUGAAGACUCGGAUUAGUCUAAAUUAAGACAAGUGUAAUAGCCAAAAAGCAUUUAGGAAGUAGCUUAUAUAAAUUCCCUACCUUCACUUGUCAGUAUUCACUUCUACUUCACAAUAUUUCGGAAUUCUCUAGGUCUGAAAAAUUCCUUGGUAUGAAUGAUCUGAAUUACCUCUUUAAUACACGUUUACCGUAUACUGAGGUUGAAAAUUGUUCCUUUCAAAUCUCUCCAAUUUCUUAGAUAUUUUGUCAUUGUCACACUGGUCUGUCACUGUGAUGUAUAAAAAAUCUACUGAGACCAUAAUUAUAGGAACUGAGACCGGACUAAAAUAUAUAUUUAUCUCAGUUAUUUCUCUUGAUAAUUUUGAAACUGAAUAACUUAAUAUGAUAAAUAUGAUGAUGUAUUAAGGUAUACUAAGACAAUGUGGUAAGUAAUGAAGAAGCAGUGUUUUAUUCAAAUCUGUAUUGUAUUAAUCUACAAUACUUACACUCAAUGUUUUAAGCCAGCAAACUUUAAAGUACGUAAGUACUUACUAUUUCGAUGCAUUUAGUUUUUUCCCCGUUACUAGGUGAGUGAAACUCUUAAAUCCAUAAAUUGUAAAGUAACAAAAUAAUUUAAUCUUUUUAUCCUUUUCCUUUUGUCAAUGUUUAAGUGUCUUUGACCUCAAUCUUCCGGAUGAAAGUUAAUUACGUAAAAUCAGGGCCUUACCUUUACGUGGUAAAUAGAGCCAACAAUCUCGAAAAAAUAAAAGGUUCGUUCAGCUGUAUAUCUUAAUUACGAAAUUAACAAAUAGUGUUAGUUGCUAGCCCAACGCUUAAAAGGAUAAUCCAAUUGAUAGAAGAAUUAUGUAAUCAAAAUGUGAUACAUGCAACCUCAAACAGUGCCUUUUCUUGCCAUAGAACAACAAGCAGUCUCCUUUUUCUAACGUUCUUAUCGUUUGUCGUCUAUUUUUUUUUACAGCAUUUGCUGGGGUUUGCGCAUCAUUGGUAUAAUCAUAGUGUUCGUAGUACUCAUAAUAAUUAUCUCGUAUUUUGCAACAAAAAAAUGAUAUAUAUGAAAAA